rnacentral:rRNA from 1 species
GACGAACGCUGGCGGCGUGCCUAAUACAUGCAAGUCGAGCGGUCCCUUCGGGGAUAGCGGCGGACGGGUGAGUAACACGUAGGCAACCUGCCUGUAAGACCGGAAUAACUAUCGGAAACGAUAGCUAAGACCGGAUAGCUGGUUUUCUCGCAUGAGAGAAUCAUGAAACACGGGGCAACCUGUGGCUUACAGAUGGGCCUGCGGCGCAUUAGCUAGUUGGUAGGGUAACGGCCUACCAAGGCGACGAUGCGUAGCCGACCUGAGAGGGUGACCGGCCACACUGGGACUGAGACACGGCCCAGACUCCUACGGGAGGCAGCAGUAGGGAAUCUUCCGCAAUGGACGCAAGUCUGACGGAGCAACGCCGCGUGAGUGAUGAAGGUCUUCGGAUCGUAAAGCUCUGUUGCCCUAGACGAACAGCAAGGAGAGUAACUGCUCUUUGUGUGACGGUAUAGGAGAAGAAAGCCCCGGCUAACUACGUGCCAGCCGCCGCCGUAA